CAGGCGACAAAGUGUUCAGCUGCCUGUCCAGUAAGUGAUGCAGAGUGUGGUCAGGAGCCAUUUACUAUCCACAGGCAUUCACUACAGCCCCAGAGAUCAUUUAGAUGAUCGUUUGGAUGCUCUUUGUGUAAGCUGAGGAGGAAUCUUAACAGGGAUCAACAGAGAAUUACACCGAAUUCUGAGGUUUAUGUUGGCAGUCCACCAGCCUGUGCGAAGAUAAUCAUUAGAUCAAGACAGAGAAUCCACGAUAAAACACAAAAGUAUGUCUCCCACGCACUGGAUCAUCUCCUCGUAUUUGACUUGUUGAUGUUCCGGUCUGAGACCCUUUGUGAAGAGAGAAUAAUUGGUGAACGGGAGGAGCAGUUUUAGAGAUGUAAAGCUCUUGUUAUCACGUUUAAAAACUGAAGCAUGACUUAUGAGGUUUGGUCUCCUUAACCUCGAAGAAAGGUGAUUAUAAGGUUUUGGUGAAUUUCUUGUGAAAGUUUGUCAUGGUUUCACCAGAUUCCCUAAGGCAAACCCCAAAUUAUUGUUUUUGGGAUAGUAAGGAAAGGAAAUUUUUUUUUAGAAAAAAAGCUGGUUCCCAUAAAGUCUGCCAAACUGUGCUUAUGUCAUGAUAAUGUACCAAUCUGUUAAGGCAAGACUGUUGGGUAAUUAAAAGAUAAAUAAAUAAGGACUUGUCAGAGCAAUGACUGGAUUAUCAUCAAAGAAAAUGAUUUCUUGUGAUACAUUUAUUACUGAAAAUAAUAAUAAAAACAUUUUUUAAAGUGAUAACAGGAUUGUGGCCUCUUGUGUUAAUCCAGUCCUGACUUGCCCUUGUUUGGUAACAAACAUUUAACAGUGAGUUCUAUAAAAUGCUAAUUUUACAGAACUAGUAAAUUCUCUUAUUAAAUGGAGAUUAAGUAUCGGAAUUUCAGGAGUGGGACCACGCCUCCAAACACGUU
rnacentral:lncRNA from 1 species